rnacentral:rRNA from 1 species
GAUGAACGCUAGCGGGAGGCUUAACACAUGCAAGUCGAGGGGUAAAUGGCAGCAAUGCUAUGAGACCGGCGGACGGGUGCGUAACGCGUAUGCAACAUACCUUGUGCAGGGGGAUAGCCCGUGGAAACGCGGAUUAAUAUUCCAUAGUCCAGCUGUAUCGCAUGGUAUAGUUGGUAAAGAUUUAUCGGCACAAGUUUGGCAUGCGUCUGAUUAGCUUGUUGGUAGGUAACGGCCUACCAAGGCUACGAUCAGUAGGGGUUCUGAGAGGAUUAACCCCACACUGGUACUGAGACACGGACCAGACUCCUACGGGAGGCAGCAGUGAGGAAUUUUGCGCAAUGGGGGAAACCCUGACGCAGCGACGCCGCGUGGAGGAUGAAGGCCUUCGGGUCGGUAAACUCCUGUCAGAGGUGAAGAAUACCGCAAGGGUUUGACGGUAACCUCAGAGAAGCCCCGGCUAACUAACGUGCCAGCAGCCGCGGUAAAAGUCAACGUCG